ACAAUAGCAGAGCUGAAUAGUUGUGACAGAGACCAUGUGGCUCACAAAGCCUAAAAUAUUUACUAUCUGUUCCUUUCAUCUUCCUUUUUUUUUGGAUUUUAAAUCUCUCCCUUUCUACCAGCUCCUUCCUUUCAGAUUACAAACGUGCUCCAGUCUCCCCUAAUCUAAUCCCCACUUCCUUGAGUCUUCUACAUUCCUCAAAUCCUUGUUCCAUCAUUUUUAAAUUUCACCAACUGUACCCUUUCUCAACUCAAAACACUUUUCAGUGAACAAACUCCACCUUUU
rnacentral:lncRNA from 1 species